rnacentral:misc_RNA from 1 species
GGAUGCUUUCCGGUGACUCCGAACUAGAAAGGCUUGUGAAGGCCAUUAUCUCAUAACUGUAAAGCGCACAACAGCCACCACUCCCCACCUUUUCUCCUUAUAAUCAAUCAAUUGUUAGAGUAAGACAACAACGAAUGAACAAAUCAUUUUUAAUUUUAAAUUCUCCGCUUUUAUAUUUUAAUUGAAGCAUUAUUGUUUUUCUCUGAGUCACUGACGCUGAUGAGUAAGCAGUUGAGCAAUGGACGGGUUCAAACAAAGCUCAAUGGCUAAAUGCU